GAUGAAGAACGCAGCGAAAUGCGAUAACUAAUGUGAAUUGCAGAACUCAGUGAAUCAUCGAGUCUUUGAACGCACAUUGCGCCCCCUGGUAUUCCGGGGGGCAUGCCUGUCCGAGCGUCAUUGCUGCCCUCAAGCACGGCUUGUGUGUUGGGCUCCGUCCCCCCGGGGACGGGCCCGAAAGGCAGCGGCGGCACCGAGUCCGGUCCUCGAGCGUAUGGGGCUUUGUCACCCGCUCUUGUAGGCCCGGCCGGCGCUUGCCGACACAUCAAUCUUUUUUCCAGGUUGACCUCGGAUCAGGUAGGGAUACCCGCUGAACUUAAGCAUAUCAAUAAGCGGAGGA
rnacentral:misc_RNA from 1 species